UACGAAGGGGGCUAGCGUUGCUCGGAAUCACUGGGCGUAAAGGGUGCGUAGGCGGGUCUUUAAGUCAGGGGUGAAAUCCUGGAGCUCAACUCCAGAACUGCCUUUGAUACUGAGGAUCUUGAGUUCGGGAGAGGUGAGUGGAACUGCGAGUGUAGAGGUGAAAUUCGUAGAUAUUCGCAAGAACACCAGUGGCGAAGGCGGCUCACUGGCCCGAUACUGACGCUGAGGCACGAAAGCUGGGGGAGCGAACGGG
rnacentral:rRNA from 1 species